UACGUAGGGUGCGAGCGUUGUCCGGAAUUAUUGGGCGUAAAGAGCUUGUAGGCGGUUUGUCGCGUCUGCCGUGAAAAUCCGAGGCUCAACCUCGGACUUGCGGUGGGUACGGGCAGACUAGAGUGUGGUAGGGGAGACUGGAAUUCCUGGUGUAGCGGUGAAAUGCGCAGAUAUCAGGAGGAACACCGAUGGCGAAGGCAGGUCUCUGGGCCGCUACUGACGCUGAGAAGCGAAAGCGUGGGGAGCGAACAGG
rnacentral:rRNA from 1 species